rnacentral:rRNA from 1 species
UACAGAGGUCUCAAGCGUUGUUCGGAUUCAUUGGGCGUAAAGGGUGUGUAGGUGGCGCCGUAAGUCGGGUGUGAAAUUUCGGAGCUUAACUCCGAAACUGCAUUUGAUACUGCGGUGCUUGAGGACUGGAGAGGAGACUGGAAUUCACGGUGUAGCAGUGAAAUGCGUAGAGAUCGUGAGGAAGACCAGUGGCGAAGGCGGGUCUCUGGACAGUUCCUGACACUGAGGCACGAAGGCCAGGGGAGCAAACGGG